rnacentral:rRNA from 1 species
AUACGGAGGGUGCAAGCGUUACUCGGAAUCACUGGGCGUAAAGCGCGCGCAGGCGGGCUGAUAAGUUGGAUGUGAAAGCCUACGGCUCAACCGUAGAACUGCAUCCAAAACUGUCAGUCUAGAGUGUGGGAGAGGAAGAUGGAAUUAGUUGUGUAGGGGUAAAAUCCGUAGAGAUAACUAGGAAUACCAAAAGCGAAGGCAAUCUUCUGGAACACUACUGACGCUGAGGCGCGAAGGCGGGGGGAGCAAACAGGAUUAGAAACCCUAGUAGUCC